UUAAGCGACUAAGCGUACACGGUGGAUGCCCUGGCAGUCAGAGGCGAUGAAGGACGUGCUAAUCUGCGAAAAGCGUCGGUAAGGUGAUAUGAACCGUUAUAACCGGCGAUGUCCGAAUGGGGAAACCCAGUGCAAUUCGUUGCACUAUCGUUAACUGAAUACAUAGGUUAACGAGGCGAACCGGGGGAACUGAAACAUCUAAGUACCCCGAGGAAAAGAAAUCAACCGAGAUUCCCCCAGUAGCGGCGAGCGAACGGGGAGCAGCCCAGAGUCUGAAUCAGCUUGUGUGUUAGUGGAACGGUCUGGAAAGUCCGACGGUACAGGGUGAUAGUCCCGUACACCAAAAUGCACAGGCUGUGAACUCGAAGAGUAGGGCGGGACACGUGGUAUCCUGUCUGAAUAUGGGGGGACCAUCCUCCAAGGCUAAAUACUCCUGACUGACCGAUAGUGAACCAGUACCGUGAGGGAAAGGCGAAAAGAACCCCGGCGAGGGGAGUGAAAAAGAACCUGAAACCGUGUACGUACAAGCAGUGGGAGCACCUUCGGGUGUGACUGCGUACCUUUUGUAUAAUGGGUCAGCGACUUAUAUUCUGUAGCAAGGUUAACCGUAUAGGGGAGCCGCAGGGAAACCGAGUCUUAACUGGGCGUUAAGUUGCAGGGUAUAGACCCGAAACCCGGUGAUCUAGCCAUGGGCAGGUUGAAGGUUGGGUAACACUAACUGGAGGACCGAACCGACUAAUGUUGAAAAAUUAGCGGAUGACUUGUGGCUGGGGGUGAAAGGCCAAUCAAACCGGGAGAUAGCUGGUUCUCCCCGAAAGCUAUUUAGGUAGCGCCUCGUGAAUUCAUCUUCGGGGGUAGAGCACUGUUUCGGCUAGGGGGUCAUCCCGACUUACCAACCCGAUGCAAACUACGAAUACCGAAGAAUGUUAUCACGGGAGACACACGGCGGGUGCUAACGUCCGUCGUGAAGAGGGAAACAACCCAGACCGCCAGCUAAGGUCCCAAAGUCAUGGUUAAGUGGGAAACGAUGUGGGAAGGCACAGACAGCCAGGAUGUUGGCUUAGAAGCAGCCAUCAUUUAAAGAAAGCGUAAUAGCUCACUGGUCGAGUCGGCCUGCGCGGAAGAUGUAACGGGGCUAAACCAUGCACCGAAGCUGCGGCAGCGACACUAUGUGUUGUUGGGUAGGGGAGCGUUCUGUAAGCCUGCGAAGGUGACCUGUGAGGGUUGCUGGAGGUAUCAGAAGUGCGAAUGCUGACAUAAGUAACGAUAAAGCGGGUGAAAAGCCCGCUCGCCGGAAGACCAAGGGUUCCUGUCCAACGUUAAUCGGGGCAGGGUGAGUCGACCCCUAAGGCGAGGCCGAAAGGCGUAGUCGAUGGGAAACAGGUUAAUAUUCCUGUACUUGGUGUUACUGCGAAGGGGGGACGGAGAAGGCUAUGUUAGCCGGGCGACGGUUGUCCCGGUUUAAGCAUGUAGGCUGAUUGUCCAGGCAAAUCCGGAUAAUCAAGGCUGAGGUGUGAUGACGAGGCACUACGGUGCUGAAGUAACAAAUGCCCUGCUUCCAGGAAAAGCCUCUAAGCAUCAGGUAACAUUAAAUCGUACCCCAAACCGACACAGGUGGUCAGGUAGAGAAUACCAAGGCGCUUGAGAGAACUCGGGUGAAGGAACUAGGCAAAAUGGUGCCGUAACUUCGGGAGAAGGCACGCUGGUGUGUAGGUGAAGUCCCUGCGGAUGGAGCUGAGACCAGUCGAAGAUACCAGCUGGCUGCAACUGUUUAUUAAAAACACAGCACUGUGCAAACACGAAAGUGGACGUAUACGGUGUGACGCCUGCCCGGUGCCGGAAGGUUAAUUGAUGGGGUUAUCCGUAAGGAGAAGCUCUUGAUCGAAGCCCCGGUAAACGGCGGCCGUAACUAUAACGGUCCUAAGGUAGCGAAAUUCCUUGUCGGGUAAGUUCCGACCUGCACGAAUGGCGUAAUGAUGGCCAGGCUGUCUCCACCCGAGACUCAGUGAAAUUGAACUCGCUGUGAAGAUGCAGUGUACCCGCGGCAAGACGGAAAGACCCCGUGAACCUUUACUAUAGCUUGACACUGAACAUUGAGCCUUGAUGUGUAGGAUAGGUGGGAGGCUUUGAAGCGUGGACGCCAGUCUGCGUGGAGCCAACCUUGAAAUACCACCCUUUAAUGUUUGAUGUUCUAACGUUGGCCCCUGACCGGGGUUGCGGACAGUGUCUGGUGGGUAGUUUGACUGGGGCGGUCUCCUCCCAAAGCGUAACGGAGGAGCACGAAGGUUAGCUAAUCCUGGUCGGACAUCAGGAGGUUAGUGCAAUGGCAUAAGCUAGCUUGACUGCGAGCGUGACGGCGCGAGCAGGUGCGAAAGCAGGUCAUAGUGAUCCGGUGGUUCUGAAUGGAAGGGCCAUCGCUCAACGGAUAAAAGGUACUCCGGGGAUAACAGGCUGAUACCGCCCAAGAGUUCAUAUCGACGGCGGUGUUUGGCACCUCGAUGUCGGCUCAUCACAUCCUGGGGCUGAAGUAGGUCCCAAGGGUAUGGCUGUUCGCCAUUUAAAGUGGUACGCGAGCUGGGUUUAGAACGUCGUGAGACAGUUCGGUCCCUAUCUGCCGUGGGCGCUGGAGAAUUGAGGGGGGCUGCUCCUAGUACGAGAGGACCGGAGUGGACGCAUCACUGGUGUUCGGGUUGUCAUGCCAAUGGCACUGCCCGGUAGCUAAAUGCGGAAGAGAUAAGUGCUGAAAGCAUCUAAGCACGAAACUUGCCCCGAGAUGAGUUCUCCCUGAGACUUUAAGUCUCCUGAAGGAACGUUGAAGACGACGACGUUGAUAGGCCGGGUGUGUAAGCGCAGCGAUGCGUUGAGCUAACCGGUACUAAUGAACCGUGAGGCUUAACCUU
rnacentral:rRNA from 2 species